rnacentral:tRNA from 1 species
GGUUCCAUCGUCUAGCGGUUAGGACACGGGUUUUUGACUCAAACAAAGAGACUCAACGCCCGAGGCCGGGGUUCGAUUCCCCGUGGAACCU